GACGAACGCUGGCGGCGUGCUUAACACAUGCAAGUCGAACGGAAAGGCCCUGCUUUUGUGGGGUGCUCGAGUGGCGAACGGGUGAGUAACACGUGAGUAACCUGCCCUUGACUUUGGGAUAACUUCAGGAAGCUGGGGCUAAUACCGGAUAGGAGCUCCUGCUGCAUGGUGGGGGUUGGAAAGUUUCGGCGGUUGGGGAUGGACUCGCGGCUUAUCAGCUUGUUGGUGGGGUAGUGGCUUACCAAGGCUUUGACGGGUAGCCGGCCUGAGAGGGUGACCGGCCACAUUGGGAAUGAGAUAGGGCCCAGACUCCUACGGGAGGCAGCAGUGGGGAAUAUUGCACAAUGGGCGGAAGCCUGAUGCAGCAACGCCGCGUGCGGGAUGACGGCCUUCGGGUUGUAAACCGCUUUCGCCUGUGACGAAGCGUGAGUGACGGUAAUGGGUAAAGAAGCACCGGCUAACUACGUG
rnacentral:rRNA from 1 species